rnacentral:lncRNA from 1 species
GCUAUUUAAGCUACUUCAACAAAUCACAAUAAUAAAAAAACUUCCCCCCUACAAUCAAUGGACCUUAUAGGUGACGGCAAAUAUGAUAUCAUACUAAACAUGAGAAUGUUUCUCAUUUAUAGAAUUCAAAGAUUUAAAUAUAUGUAUAUCUAUUUUUCCUAUCUCCAUUUGUCUCUAAAGCAUCAAUUUCAUACCCGCAUGUUUCUUUAAGGAAUUUAUUGUGUUAAUGUAUUCAAAGAAAACUUAUUGCUAUAUGUCUACACAUGCAAAUUUCAAAGCAAGUUAGGCAUCUCUUAAUUAAUAAGAUUAAUUAAACAAAAAACUUAAGAAUCAUACUAUGCAAUGCAAUCCUCCACACUUUAGCAGCAAAUUCUAAUUCAUUCCAUUGAGAGGUUCACAUGCCUUUAAAGAAGAGGGAAACAAGGUCUAAAAUCAAAAAACAUAAAAAAAUGAUAGAGAUUGACCUUAUAAUAAAUAGUGAGAAUCUUCUUUUAGAACAUGCAGAACAAAAAAUUGAUUGUACUUUAAAAAAAUGACGAUCAAAACAUGUAUGCCUAGAGUUGUAAGAAGAUUUGGGUAAAUGCAGAGAAGUUGUGGAGUUGAUCAGCAAACCAGUAAGGAGGUUGCAACAGAGUUUCUGGUGUGAAUGAAGUAGGGAAAGAGCAGGCAGCUUCUCUUAACAUGAGUGUUACAAGUUUAAGAAAGUAAAUUAUGUUUGUGCCUAAAAUAAGCGACAAACAUUUAGCGUCUAAAAUAAAUGUAAUUUUUUUAGAAGUUCUAACUCCCCAACCUCCAUCUGCGCAACAAAUUCGAAGCAUGAUAAAGCCAUGAACUCAUUCCUUCUGCAUAUGGGAUGAGAGAGUAUUUUGAUUUUUUUUUUGGCAAAUCUUACUUCUCUCCAUAUAUGCCAAAAACAAAAACCUGUCCAAGUUCUAAGUACAAAAAAACUUAUCCAAAUUUUAAGCCACUUGACCAUUUAUUUUUGUUGCUAUUUUAUCAUUCUUUUUUAGUUUUUUAGUUAAGAUAUCAUUGUGAUGCUUGUUGGAUUCUAAAAGUGUUAUCUAAUUGCAUAAAUCUAAUUCAAUUCUUAUCUUUUUUUUUUGACAAUUUAGAAAAAAAACAUGAAUUUUUAUUUGAGUUACUCCCUCCGUUCCCUAUUAUACGUCACUUUUUUGAAAAGAAAUUGUUACAAAAUAUAAGUCACUUUCUAAUAUCUUGGAAGCAUUAAAUAAUUUUUUCCAAGUUCACCAUAAUAUUUAAUAUGAAAGAGAUGAUAAACUUUAGAAGUAUUAACUUGGAGAUAGAAAAUCAUAAGAAAGUAAAUAAGGGUAAUCUAGGAAAGUAAAUCAUUUUCUUUACAAUUUUAUUACUAGUAACUACUUUUCUUAAUCUUAGAGAAUUAGUUAUUUCUGACUUAUAUAUAAAAACAGAGGCAGUAAAUUUUAAUUUCAAUGUUUUUAAUACAUAAUCCGCAACAAAGUGGGAGCACAUGCUCCACUAUUACAUUUCUCUUUUUUGGUCAAACAUUAUUAUAUUUCUCUAAUAGCAUAAUCUAAUUUUAAAUUUUUGAAUCAAUAUCUUUGUUCAAAGUAUUCUUAUAUAUUUGAAAUUCCUUUUUACUUUAUCCGCAUCAAGACUACAUAUUUGAAUAAGUGAGUUAGUGUAGUGAUUCAACACUAUGUCCCUUAAGCAAAUGGUUGGGGGUUUGAAUUCCAACUCUCAUGAAUGAAAAAGAACUUAUUUACCAGCCUACUGCUGCGCAUCGUGGGGUGAGUAAUUAGUCUCACGAUUACCGGUUGUCGGGAUAUAUAGUUUAAGACAAAAAAAACCUACAUAUUUGAUAGGGAAAAUUAUUUAUUUGGUUUACUAUUUUGCAAAUUUUCACUAGUUUUUCUUUUUAAAAUUAUAUCAUAGAUCAAAUCCAUCAUAAAUACUUGAAAAAAAAAUAAUGAUGUAAUGAGAAAAUUUGCUUAAUUUUAAAAAUAAACCAGAGAGGCUUAAUUUGCUUGACAAAAACUUAUGUGGCCAAAAUCACACAUAAUCUAAACUAAGGGAAAAUUCAAUCAAGCCUAAUUUUUAUUAAAUUAUACAUAUGUAAUUAAUAUGUCUUCACUUGAUCCACAUCUAAAUUGGACAUUUUGAAAUGAAACUUAAUUAUUUUUACUCAUUAUUUAAAUGUAAAAUUAUAAGAAUAAUUUUUUUAUUGCUGCUUAGAGUCAGAGACAUCAGUCUCAGACUCAUUCUUCAAUACUCUGCUUCAUCAUCGUCUUGUUCCACUCAUCAACCAUCAUCAACAUUCCAUCAUCGUCUUGUUCCAUUCCAUCAUCGUCUAGUUCCACUCAUCAAUAUUCCAUCAUUGUCUUGUUCCACUCAUUAAUCGUCAUAAACAUUCCAUCAAGAUGAGGAUAGCUCUCCUUGUAGGUGCGGAUUCGAAAGAUGAGCCCAUCGGCAGUAUCAAUGAUGUUGCUUCAAUGUUGGGUUAUGAUAUCAAGAAGGAGAACCUAGUCACUUUGGUGAGUAAGGACAGAGAUCAUCUCUUGGCUGCGAUCAGUGAAGAAUCACUCAAGAAAACAUUGAGAAGAAUCUCACAGCGUUUUCAAAUUCAUGUGUCAGAGGUGAUGCAAUCCUCGUUUUCUUUAGUGGACAUUCUAAUCGGUUCUUCAAUGACAUUUACUUUGAGUGCAGCAAUGGUGGAUAGAUAAGUGGGGCAUAUUUGUGUGACUGGGGAAGAAGAGUCUCUGCCAUUUGUAGAGGGUUAGUCCUAAUGGACACUUGUUAUACUACCAGAUUUUACCAUAAUUAUUUCCAGCCCACGGUUGUCAGUCGUAUCUUUGGGGCUCUAAAUGGCCUUUUUGGCCAUAAAAUGGAGGCUGCGAAAUCUUCUGAAAGCACUGAUGAUGCAACAGGAUUAUACUUCCUAGGAAGUUCAAAUAAGAUUGAAAAGAGUGUAGUUGUAGGGUCAUCUCUGCCUAGGACAGAGAAAAAUAAACGUGAAGUUUUCACGAAAGAAAUUACUAGAGAGAUUUACCUGAAUAUGACUAACUUGGUCUUGUUCUAUAAAGUAUCAAAUCGGGUGCAAAGGCAAAAAAGGCAGGAGGUUACCUGAAUAUGUCACCAGAAGAUCGAGAAAUUGACCUUUUUUCACUGCUGAAGAAUGGGAAUGGCUUGGUGGUUAGAAUAGAGAUGACUAACAUAAUUGUUUCAUUUUUUAUUCAUUACCAGAUUACCAGAUGUUGUUUUUUGGCAUAAUAGUCCAUUUGAUGUUAAUUAAUCAAUGGUACAUGCCCCAAGAUUUUAGACUCCAUGUUCCUUAUUGGCAACAAUUCUAAUUUCUAAGAAAAAAGAAUAAGUUUUAUUAUUAUAAAUUUAUUAAUGUAAGAAUAAAUUUGUAUAUAAAUUAUUAGAAUAAAUGCUCAAUGAAAAAUUUCAACAAAAAUUAACAGAAAUGUAUUGAAACAUACUUCAACUAAAAUAAACCAAAAAUAAAGUGCCUAGACUUUUUUUAUGUGUCAAAAUCUUAUUUCUCUGAGUAAUCAUUUUUGCUUGUGUGAUAUUCUUCUUGAUUAGUAUCACUUUCAAAGUGAUUUACAUCUUGAAGUUCUUUUAAUUCUUCUUCCUUGUUAAUAAUACUCUCAUCCAAACAUUACCACUAACAUAAUACCUAUUUUAAAACCCCUUCAUCUUAGUCCACUAAUGGUGUUUCUAGAUCUUUAUGUGUAUCACUCAGUUAGCAGCGGGUUUGGUUGUGGAAUUUAUGGGGGGGGGGGGGGGUCACGUUUAUGUUAUGGUAACAUGGGUCAUGGUUUUUUUAAUUGUGGCUUCAUGCUUGUUCUCUUUGUUGGGUACUGUCAUGAGAAUUGUCUGGUUUGCUUUCAAUGUUAAAUUUGUUGGCAUUGUCAUGAUUGUGCCGUUUUUUUAUGGUUUUGGGGUGGGCUACUUAGUUUUGUAUUGGGCUGAUGUGGGUUUUUUUAGGUGGUUUUCUGGUUUCUUUUGGCCUUGUUCUGGCUUUUUUGUUUGCUUGUAUUAUGGAUUGUAGUACCCCUUGUACUCCCUUUAAUGCAAUUUUUGGCUUAAAUAUAUAUAUAUAUAUAUAUAUAUAUAUAUAUAUAUUAUUUGCUUCAUUUGUCAAGUGAAUUGAUAGAUGAACCAUAACAUCAAAAAAUGAUGGUGGGAUGAUGCGUUCCAGCUUACAAAGUGUCACUACGAUAGAAUUUUGUAAACGAUUUGACUCAUCCACUUUUAACUCUUUAGAGCAUAAAUCACCGAAGAAUAAUGAUAGCUCAAUCAAAGGAACACAAGCAUCCUUGGGAAGCAAUUCUCUUAUGGCAAGUGGAAGAAGUCUCUCAAGUAUAACAUGAUAAUCAUGACUUUUAAGUCCUGAGAUAUUGAGUUUGUUUAUAUUUAUGCAACGACCUAUAUUUGAGGCAUAAGCAUUUGUAAAUCUGACAUAUUUUAAGAUACAACAAAACUUUAUUUUUCUGUCCUGGACACUGUGUAACGUGCAGGUGGAAUGAUAUAUUUAUUCUCAAUCUUGAUAGGAUGAAGUUUCUUCUUGAGUCCCAUACAUAUCAAAUCUAACUGAGACUUUAUUGUAUAUUUUUUUUUGCCUUCAAUAUCCAACAGCGUUCCAUUAACACUCUCACAAACAUUUUUCUCCACAUGCAUCUAUCUAUGUUAUGCGUUAAUUCGAUUGUUCUCCAGUAGGGUAAUUCAAAAAAUAUACUUUUCUUCUUCCAAUUAUGAAUUACCUGUGAAGUUCUUUUUCUUUUUUCUUGUAGCUUUUUCAAAUGACAACUGUUCAAGACUUUCAAAUUGUUCAAUUACUUCAUCUCCAGUUAUUCGUAUUGGUGCAACCCUUACCUCCUUUGUGUUAUCAAAUGAGCUAUUAUGUGUACGCCAAAGAUGUUGAGUAAGUAAGAAUCUACGAUGGCCCAUGUAGCAUUGCUUGUGCCAUAUUUCAAACGACAAGAGACAGUUUCUCAAUGACAGCAAGGGCAAGCUAAUACUUCUUUAGUACUUCAUCCGGGUAGCAUGGCAUAAGCAGGAAAGUCAUUGAUUGUCCAUAAUACGGUUGCAUGCAAUUGAAUUUUUUGUCUUGACGAUGCAUCAUAGGUUUCAAAACCUACAUCCCACAACUCUUUUAAGUCAUCAAUUAGAGGCUGGAGAUAAACAUCAAUAUCAAUCCAGGGAAUUUUUGGACUAGAAAUAAGAAUAUUUGGUGUUUCAUACACAACCAAGGAGGCAAGUUAUAAUGAAUUAAAACAACUGGCCACACACUAUAGCUGAUGCUCAUAAUACCAAACGGGUUGAAACCAUCAGAUGUUAAGCCAAGUCUCACAUUACGAGGAUCUAUAGCAAAAAUUCCACGGUAUUUAUUAAAACGUUGCCAUGUUAAAGAAUAAAUCGGUGCUCUAGAAUUCCAUAAUCAAUUCUUUUAUUCUUAUGUCAUUUCAUGUCAUAUGCAAUUAGUUUAGCCGAGCUUCUUGCUUCGGCCGGCUCUUUGAGCUUUAACCGCUAUACCUAUUUUCAAGGGGUGAACCGUUGGAUACCUAUAUCCAUUGUGGGCCUAUGGCAUGUAUACCUUUCUAAUAUUGUCAAAGUUCCCUUUUUUAGCCAAUUCUUGUCUCGCUUGAUCGGUUGCUUACUCCUUCGGCUAAACCCUAUUGUGGCUCGUCUGCCAUGUUAGCACGCGAGACGAUUUAACUGUUUUCUAAUCAUUACAAAUAUUUGGAUGCCAAUAGUUAUAAUAAAAAAAUUCUAAAAUACAACAUACUAUUAUUUAGUGCAUUAUCAAAUCAUCGUUUAUGGUAAUACAUAUUUUAUUAUCUAGAUAUUAUUUCCAUAAUUUUUAUAUUCAAAAAGUUUCACCAGCUUGUUUUUUUAAGAAACAAAUCUUUGGAAAAUAAAGUUUAUAGGAAGGAAGUUUUACAUAAUAAUUACUUUUAGAAGAUUUUUUAUUUUGAAUUUUUAGACCCGUAAUAAUAUUCUCAUUUCUUAUGUCUACCCUCAGUCCUCACUCACACUCCAAUAAAGAAGAUAGUAAUAGAAGAAAGAGAAUUAAGAAAAUAAAUAAGUAUGAAAUCUCUGCAAAUCUUUUGAAAUCUCUACAUAUAUCUUUUUCAUAAAAUAUCAAACUGAAACGUUGCGUAACAAAAUCAAUUCAAUUAGGAUAUUCCUUUCCUUUUAUUCUAUAACAUUAAAAUAAAUCAAAUUAACUUUUUUUUAUCUCAUGUUAAAUUACAAUUACAAAUAUAAAUAAAUAUAUGUAGGGUAAAUUAAUAUUAAUAUUACAUAAAAACCACAUCAGAGAAAACGAGAAUCGUGUUCUAUUGCGGUGACCUCUUUCUUUCUCUUUCAGUUUGUUCACCAUCGCCAUGGAUGAACACCACCAACAACCUCAACCUAACAUCGACCCUUUCCUCGUGAAUUAUCAACCUUCUGAGCUUCGAAUCGCUUCUGAGUUUCUUAACACAUGGCUUCCCUUUCUCACCAAAGAUCUCUGCCGCCGCUGCUCCCAGUCGCUCUCCGAUCGCAUCCGCUCCAUCGACCCAGGUAACAGAAUCCUCCAAUUCCAUCGAAAUUUUCAAUUUUUUCAACUGGGUCAUGCCCACUUUCUUGUUUUACUGGUUGUUCAAUUUUCUUGCAUGUGCAGAGUCUAAGAGCCAGGACAACACCGUUAUCGCCGGGGAUUCCAUUGUUCAAUCGGGCGAGGCUAGUGAUGAGUGUGACGAGAAUUGUGACUCGCAUUCUCUUGGGAGUUGGAAGGAUGUGGCGGCGGGGAACUCUGUCUCGGUGGUGGAGGUUCCGAGUCUGAGGAUGUCUUGGGCUGAUAUGGCUCAGGAGGAUGAUGAGUUCGGCGAAGAUUCGCAUGAAGAGGAUAAUAGCAGUGCCAAUGUUGUUGUGUUUGGUUCAAUUCCCUGUGAAACCAAGGUUUCUGUUCGUGAGAAGCCUACUCUGUCGAGGGAGCAGAGGGAGCACAUUCGAUUCAUGAAUGUGAGGCGGGAGAAGGACUUCAUAUGUUUUGAGAGGGUUAAUGGGAAGCUUGUGAACAUUCUUCAAGGACUUGAACUCCACACUGGUAUUUUCAGUGCUGCUGAACAGAAGAGAAUAGUUAGUUAUGUAACUUCACUGCAGGAGAUGGGGAGAAAUGGAGAAUUAAAAGGUUUGUGAUCUCACCAUGCUAGGUUGUUGUUCUAUUUCUUGCUUUUAUUUGUGAAUUGUGAUGCUCUUCUGUUUUGCUGUUUAUAGUUGUCUGAUGAUGCUAGAAUUGUGACCUAUGACUGAAAUUCAUGCUUGUUUUGCUUUUGCUAUUUCCUGGAUUUACAUUUGGGAAACCAGAAAAUAAUUUUAACCUAAUGAAAAAGAUAAAGAUUUUAUCCAUAAUUGUUGUCACUCUGCUGGGCUUCUUGUGCUAUGAGGUCAUGUAAUAAGAUGAUUUGUACUAGGUUUCCUGUGUGUUGCAGCUGAGUAGUGUCAGUAAAUCAAUAUCAUGAAUGUGAUGAUCUUUAACUGCAGUUCAUGUUGUAGAUUUAUGUUACUAGUGUGUGUCUCCCAAUCCAAUUUACCUGAUGCUGCAAAUGAUCAAUAUUUAGUUUAUUCUGUUUUGACAUUAUUCUGAUUAGAUUUUAUAGUCAUACAAUUGCUGCUGAUUUAUCAAAUAUAGAUCGUUUUAGUUUUGUUGAUAUUGCUGUUUCCUUUUUUGAAUCACUCUUGAUUCCUUAUUCUUGAAGUCAGUAUUGUUAAUUCAACUGUGAUUGUGGGAUAGAAAUUAAACUAUUAACAUGGGCGCUGCAAGUGAACAUGGUGAACUAAUGCUUUCGUGUAUAUAUUAUUAUGAGGUGCUAGGGAAUUUUAGGCAUUGGCAUUAGGAAUAAUAAGAAAGCAUUUAACAGUUUAACUAGUUUAGUUGAAGUUUCCAUUGAAUUAACUACUCAAGUGUCAAGCCUAUCAUUCAUGAUGAAAAUUAAGAUUAGAACCUUCUAUUCACUUAACCCUAAGCUCUGGUUGCUAUCAGAAGUCCCAAAGAUUGAUGACUAGGUUAUUGAUUUAACAUUCUGACAAUUGGUUUUUUGGGUUUCCAAUAGUUUUCAAUAAGGUGCUAAAGGUAUGCCUUAUCUCAAUCAGAAAGGCUUGCCUGUGCUUCAAUAAACAAACUGCAGCUCCACCAAGUCAGAGCCCAGAGGCGCCUUGCCUCUUCUAGUGGCCAUGGGAAAUACUAGAGCUGGGCGAAUUGGCCCGCGCCCGCGGGCCGGCCCGCUUAACCCGCAGCCCGCGCGGGCUGUGGCCCGGUGAUUGGUUGCCCGUUUAAAAGCGGGCCUACGCGGUCUGGCCCGCUUAACCCGCGAGUUCAUGCGGGUUGAACCGCGGUUUUGCGGGCUGGACCGCAUUACAAAAGAAAAAAAUUUAAGUCAUUUAUUUGACAACUUUUGAGAAAAAAAUUGACAACUUUGGAAAAAAAAAUCAGUUUAUUUUUUAAUUUAGGCGUUUAUAAGGUUUUUAAUGAAAAAAAUAUUUUUAAUUUAGUUUUAAAUUUCAUUUUUAUUAUUUUUUAAUUUGGCUUGUGGCCCGCGGGCCAGCCCGCUUAUCCGCGGGGCGGGGGCGGACCGGCGUAAUAGAGGCCCGUUUAAAUGCGGGCCUACGCGGUGCGGGCCUACGCGGUGCGGGCUUACGCGGGGCGGGCCUAUGCGGGGCGGUCUAACCGCAUACCCAGCUCUAGGAAAUACCAUAUUUAUGCAUAUGCAUCUUUCAUGUCUUCUUGAGGGCUUCCCAAAACCUAGUUUAGGCCAAUGCAUGUGGAACUAAUUAGGGAUCCUUCUCAUUUAGAAAUAAGCAUGGUCGGACUCAAGCUGUACAUCUAUUGGCUUUAUGAAAUACUAACUGUGCGUCAUAAAGAUACUGAAAAUAAAUUUUAGAUUCUGUUUUCCCCAAUUGGAUAUACUUAAUGUCAGUUUAGUAAAUGUGUUGUCUGAUGUUACUUGUACGGGACUAAACGAUGUUAAUUAUUGACUUUUUCAGGUCGGACAUUUUCAGCUCCUCAAAAGUGGAUGAGGGGCAAGGGACGCCAAACUAUCCAAUUUGGGUGCUGUUAUAAUUAUGCAGUGGUUAGUAUAUCUCUCAUGCCUUCUUAUGUUUCUUUAUUUGGAGACGAUGUAAAAUGCUUGAGGAUGCAGUUUACUGGCUAAUGAGUUUGGUAAAGGGAUGUAACUCAUUAUAUUAACUUUCUUUUUACAGGAUAGAGAUGGUAAUCCACCUGGUAUUCUUAAGACUGCUACAGUAGAUCCUAUACCUGAUCUUUUCAAGGUCAUCAUUCGACGCCUGGUCAAGUGGCACGUACUACCUCCUACUUGUGUGCCUGAUAGUUGUAUUGUGAAUAUCUAUGAAGAAGGGGACUGCAUACCUCCACACAUAGACAACCAUGAUUUUGUUCGACCAUUUUGCACCGUCUCAUUUCUUAGCGAGUGCGAUAUACUUUUUGGAUCCAACUUAAAGAUUAUAGGUCCUGGUGAAUUUGAUGGCUCAAUGGCUAUUCCCCUACCUGUUGGGUUAGUAUUAAAUUGGGUUUUAUCCACUACACUGUCUAUAGUUUUUUUUUUCCAACUAUUGCUACAUGACUUCUAGAUCUAGUUAGAUUGGAUUAUUUGUUAAUUGGCCACUGUUGUGGAGAAUUCAGAAUCUGAUCAUUAGUCCUGUUUUUCUCCAGAUCUGUACUUGUCUUAAAUGGAAAUGGAGCUGAUGUAGCUAAGCACUGUGUACCUGCUGUUCCUACAAAAAGGUAUACUAAUAGGAUUUUGUAUCUGUGGCUUUAGAAAUUGUAUUCCUUUUCUUCUUUUACUCCGAAAGCACCAAUGACUUAUUAUUGAUCUGUAUUCUUUUUAUUAAAUCUUUUGCUAGGAUAUCAAUCACAUUUAGAAGAAUGGAUCCAGCCAAGCGGCCUCUUUGGUUUGUUCCAGAACCUGAUCUUCAGGGGAUCCAGCCAUUGGCCUAUGAAGGUGAGCUGGAAAAGAAGUCAAGUGAACAAAAACAUAAUCGUCAUACGAAGAGACAUAACGACGGGAGGGGUGGCAGGAAUGAUGCAACAGGAUCUGCAACUAGAAAUGAUAGAUUCUCGGAGCCUCGUGGUGAUAGAUUCUCGGAGCCUCGUGGUGAUAGAUUCUCGGAGCCUCGUGGUGAUAGAUUCUCAGAGCCUCGUGGGUCGACUCAAAGUCGGUCUGCAGCUAGAGGUGAUAGAUUCUCAGAGCCUCGUGGCGAUAGAUUCUCGGAGCCUCGUGAUUCAAGUCAAAGUCGAUCUGCAACUAGAAGUGAUAGAUUCUCGGAGCCUCGUGGUGAUAGAUUCUCGGAGCCUCGUGAUUCAACUCAAAAUCCCCAAAGACCUGCAAAUAGGUGGAGUCGGGUGAGGCCUGGUAGUUGACAGGUGUCGUGUUAACACCCAUGUGUUGGUUAUGUUCAUGCAAUCCUUCUUCAUACACAACUGGUUUGUCAUGGAGGUUUCUUCAGCUUGCUUUCUGAGAAUUUUGCGUACAUCAAAUCAGAUGCGACUACUGUUCAAUGUUACACGGCUUUAUAUAUAUUUUUGGUACUCUUAUUGAUGUUAGAGUAGAGGUUCUAAUUCCAACAAAGUAAAGAUCAUGUUUUCUUUGCAGAGAAAUACAACAAAUUCAAAGAUCGAAAUUACAAAAUUAGGACCAAGGCCAACUAAUUCCAACAAAGUAAAGAUCCCGUUUUCCUUGCAGAAAAAUACAACAAAUUCAAAGAUCAAAAUUACAAAUCACUCGUAUCAAGCAUGGAAUGUGGAGCAAGUUUAAUAUUACAUGCAUUUUGGAAUGUGGAGUAAGUUUAAUAUUACAUGCAUUUUGGAGAGAUAGUAAAUUAUUUUCCUUAAAAGGGAGUGGUUACAGCCAGGGGACAUGCCAAACCAAGAGUGAAAGUUAGAACUAUCGGAAAUAAAUGAUAUGAAAAUAAGUUGAUUCAUUUUGUAAUUGAGUAAUACGAAGCUAUAUACACAGAUUUCACUUAAGCUAACUACUUAACAAACUUAAUAUAACAUACAUCAGUUAGCUAACUAAAACAAAAUAACUAAUCAAUUUCAUUAACUAAAUUGCCUAACUUGUUUAAUACCACCCACAAGCAAGUGGGUGGGAAAUGUUUGGCAUGAUAAACAACCAAUUAUACAAAAAACUUAAGCUAUUGGGCAAUGGCAAAAUGAAUGAAUGGUUUUAUUAUAUUUUAACACCCUCACACAAGAGUCAUUUGAGCUUAAAAUGUGGAUAAAGUACGGACCCACUUACCAUGUGCUUUGAUACUAUGUUAAACAACCAAUUAUACCAAAAGUUUAAUCUAUUGGGUAUGAGGCAAAUGAAUGAUUAUAUAUUACUCCCUCCGUUCCUAUUUAUAAGAACCAAACUAACAUUUCUUAAAUUUGUUCAAAAUUAUCUCAACUUUCCAAAACUACCCCAACUUUUAUAAGAACCAAACUAACAUUUCUUAAAUUUGUUCAAAAUUAUCUCAACUUUCCAAAACUAUCCCAACUUAUUUUUUUUAAUUUCUAUUUAUCAUUAAUGAGUUGCAUAGUGGAAAGAAAGAGAAACCUCUAUUAAAUGAGGGUAUUGUUGCCAAAAAAUAAUUAAUGCAUCUUGAAAUUUAAAUUGGUUCUUAUAAAAAGGACCAAGUUACACCCUUCAUUUAGUUCUUAUAAAUAGGAACGGAGGGAGUAUAUUGUAAGAGCAUCUCCAAUGCUAGUUCUUAUUUCUUAGUUCUUAGCACUAUUCAUGUGGGCCUGUAUUGCCACAUGUGUUUAAGCAACUCUCAAGCAAUUUUGCUCCAACCAUGAGUUUUUAGUUUUUAGUUCUUACCAUUAUUCAUUUGGUCACACCAACCAUUAUUUAUACUUUUUAUUUUCAUAAAGUAAUAAAACAAAACUCAUAAAGUAAUAAAGUAAUUUGGAUGAGAGAGAAAUAAUUAAUAUUUUAAACUAAGAACUCAAAAAGCAAAACUUCUUAUAUAAGAACUGAGUUCUUAUUUUUAAGAACUAAUGAGUCCAUGUCAGCAUAUCUAAUAGUAAAGUUCUUAGUUCUUAGUUCUUAACUCUAAAAUAAAAACUAAGAACCUUGCAUUGGAGAUGCUCUAACACACCAUACCCAGCUUAGAAAUGAAAGUGCAAAAGACCCGAGAGAGCAAAGCCACACGUUUGCACGAAAUCCAAAGCAAUAUUAUAAACUAAAGGAAAAAUCCGUUAAAUUGAAGCUGAAUAUGCUUCUUCUCCCUUUUUGUUGAACCUAACAAUUUUUCGAACAUCUCAUAAAUCAUACAAAAGACAAAUAUUUACAUCGUAAACAUUCAAAUACACAUAGAACAUUAUAAUUGAAUGAACUGAAUAUGUACAUUUUUUAUGUCUCAUUAAGCCUGAAAAUCUUAGAACAACAACAUAGCGCCCAUAAUUAUUGAUAACAACAUCUCAGCUGCAAAUUCAGCAUAAUAAUGGUAGAAAUAUCACUUGGGUAUAUUAUUACCGCAAAAAACAAACACAAUCUAACCUCAAAGCUACUGAUGCUUGAACUUAAAACAAUUUGUCAAGUCGUACAUCACAAGUUACAAAGUUGAAACAUAAUAUAGAUUUUAAUAAGCAAAGUAGAAAACGUUGACAAUGGUUUAGAAGCUUGGGAAACUUGUUCUUCAUCCUCAAGUGCCUCCCCAAUUCUCAGAACCACAUGCUCUCGAUUUCAGCACAAGCAAACCACUUCUCUUGAUUAGCCAACUUCACUCAAUCUUCAAAAUGGGUUCAGAUUUGUUUUUCCCGGAAAGAAAAAUUAUCAACAUAUGUCAAAGGAAGAACUAGAAAUUUCAAACUAGUUCAGAAAGCCUUGGGAAAGGGGGAAAAACUAAUAUUGGCAACAAUGUCUAAACAAAAUUCUACUUCUAGGGAACACUAUCAUUAUUGUUGUAAUAUACUAUAAAAGAGCAUAAAAGUCAGAGAAAAUGAUUUUAUAAGAUGACCAAUUUCAUUCCAUUAGAUAAAAUUUGAAGGGAAAAACCUUUGCUAAAAGAAACCAUUGAUGAUCAUUAUUGUUCCAAUAUUAUAGCAUAAACCUUACUAUGGAUGAAAAGCAAGAAGGAACCUUAGGAUAGAAAAAGAGAACCUUGGAUCGGAGAUUAAUGGAUGAAAAUGUUGCAGAAAUGGUUUUUAUCUGGUCUGCUGACUGCUGAGGGUGAGAAAGGAAUCACGAGUUGCAACUGAGGCGAAAUCCAGAAAGGUUACUUUUCUGGCUGUGUUCUUUGUUUUUUCAUCAAAAAGAUAAAUUACAAAUUUCAUGGACUUUGACUGUGUUCUUUGUCUGUGUGUUGAAUUGAAACUAAUAUAAGAAUAAAAUUAAGUGAAUCUAUCAAAAACAAUCAACACUCAUCUCUCUAGAAGAUUCGUUGUGAUAUACAUGAUUCAUUUAUUCAGUUACCUAACCUAUUUGAAUAUGACUAAACGUUCAGGUUAAACGUUACCAUCUAUUAUAUCACGUCCCGUAUCAGCACACUAAAUGUUGUGUGAGUAAAUUAUAUACACCCAUGAUUACGUUAAGCGAUCGCUGGGCCUGGGUGUGGUAACUCAUAUCGAAGAAUAACUCAAGUACGUGGUAAGAGUUAAGGACAUAAGGAUUGGUGGGAUGAAGAAUGAAGGGUCCAGGGUUCGAACCAUGAAGAGACUAAUUUACUAACAUUACUAACAACUAACAUUUGUCUAUAAAAAAAGUUGGAGCAUCAAAUUGUUUGAACCCACAAGGGGGUUAGAGAUGGAAGUAGGUCAGGCCGCCCAUAGGGCCUAUGGCCCAGCCUACGUCAGGCUCAGGUCAGGCUAGGCCAAAUUACAAAAUAAAGAGGCUAAGACUUUUUUAAAAGUCCAUUUAGUUAAAGAUGUCAGGCUUGAGACACACAAAAAGCCUUAUAAGCAUAACAGGUCGGCCUAUUUAAAUAAAUGAAUAAAUAUAUUUAUUUUAUUAUUUUCAUUAAAUUUUUAUAAUAAUAUCUUAAAAUUAUAUACUUGUUGAACUAUUUAUAUGUUUAAAUAUGUGAGCCUAUAUAAUGAUUUAACUAUAUAAACCUCUCUAGAAAAUGACUAUUAACUUGAACCAUACAAUCAUAUUAUUGUAUUUUAACUCAUUAGUUUAUAAGUUUGUUGACAUGUUUACAUCUUAAAUUUUCGGUCGACUUGAAUGUAUUACAAUGAAACAGACUUUUAAAUAGGAUACCAGACUUCCAAAUAGAUCAGGCUCAGGCCUAAAAAAAGCCUUUGACAUGCUACAUGCCAGACUCAUACCUAGAAUAUUUUAAGCAGGCUAAACCUAUUUAAGCAAAGCCUAGUGAAGCCCAACCUACUUUCACCCCUAAGCAGGCAGAUCCCUAGUAAGGGCCAGAUUGCAAAAUGCGAGCUGGUUAACCUGAUGCCCUGGCAAGGCCCAUGUUACGUUGACUUAUCAGAGGAGCAACUCCCUAACGGUGAUAGGAUGCAGUGCACAAGUUGUUGAGAAUUCAAGUGUGAGUUGGAGAACCAAAUUGGUUAAGUAUGGGUGAGGAGAAGACUUUAUAAGAGAUAUGACCCAUAAACCUAAUGCCUUAAGGUUUUGGGUUAAGAUGUGGCGUCGAUAUAUCUUGGUGUCUUACUCCUCGGCCCAUGGGCUUCCUUGUCCCCCAACUCAAGUCUCCUCGCGCCGUAGAAACUCCACUAAAUUCACUUUUUGAAACAACGCCUUCUUCCUCCUAGAAAACACAACCACCACAUGUUAGGGUUGUGUUUAUAUAGAAUUUAGAUAUCUAGUUAUCGGAGCCAAUAGAACAAGAAAACACUUAAUUCUGAGGGUUAAUACAUAGUUUAGCCAAAUAUAAGUUGGAUUAAUUAUGAGCAUGUAAAAAAAGAAUUAAAGCAAAUUACAGUCAAUAAUAAUCAAUGUAAGAAAGCCUACAAAACUCUGAGUACUUGAAUUAAAUCCUCCCGGAUUAUAUAUGUCUCUUUCAAUUUUUGAUUUCUCUUUAUGGGAUUCCUAACACAUUUUUUUUUAAAAUUGAAAAUGCUCCAUUAAGAAAGGAAACAUCAUGGGAACAACCUCUCCCAUGUGAGGCAAAACCCAGCACUGUUUAACAUGUUAAAGCUAACACUAGACCUUAACAUACCCAAGAUACACGACCCUUAGCCGUAGAGCAACAACACAAAAAGGAAAAAGACAAACAAACAAGAAGAUAAAUGUCCCAUUCUACAAUUGCAUAGGGCACGAUUAUUGCCUGCUUCUAACUCCAACUCCUGCAGCCUACAAGUCUGGAAAUCGUUCAGGAAAAAAACUUUAUUAGCUUGGAAGCACCCUUUCCUGAUCACGCAGACCUGCCUCAUCAAUCAAAUCUGUUACACAAACCCGCAGUGGAGAAUCUUUAUUGCAACCUUUGUUGGCCAAGAAAUCUGCUUCCACAUUACUCUCUCUAUAGAUGUGCCUUACUUCAACACAAUUUACCUCAUGUGUCAGGAAUUUGAUGUGAUUCAAUUCAUUAACAAGCCUCGAAGGUCUUUUCUCACUAGACCCUAUCUAACCCACCGUGACAGUCGAGCCGCUUUCAAUUAUGAUGUUUAUGAAGAGAAAUUCCUAACACAUUUUCCUAUAGUCAAUGCAUAUUUGAUUCAAGAAUUUUUCUGGCAGUGUGUUAGCAAAGCUCUUAAGACUUAAUGUACUAACCUUAUAGAAUGCUCAACUACUUCUCCAACAAAAUUGUCAAUCCAUAGGCACAAAACCCAUUAUGUGAUUGAGACUACAAAAACUUGUGAAUGGGGAAAUUCUGCUAUUUUACCUUCUUUUUUGGAAAGUUUAAACUUAAUACUACAUAUCUUCCAAUUAAGAAAAAUAAGUUAUUGACCGCUGCUAAUUACAUCUUGAUAGAUUUGCAAUUUUUAUGGUUAGUGGUCGUUAAAAGUUGUCAUUUAUGUUGGAGGGAUAUCUUUCAUAUUUUUUCAAGAUCUACCAUACAAUAUAUGGGGCCAAAAGACAAAAUAUAUGAUUUUAGCCCCAUAAGUUAUAAAAAAAUUAUUCUGAUAACUUGUAAAUUUGCAAAUUCUUCACACGAGACAUAAUAUUAUAACAUAUAUCAAAUUCAAUAUGCCAUAGAAGAAUUCUUUGGUCAAUUUCUCCUAAGCUCUUCCACUUUGUCACCCAUAUGACCACAAUACAUCAACAAAAUGGUAAGAAUAAUGUAAUGGAAUUUUCAUAGUGAAAUUACUUGUAAUAGAUUCCUUGAAAGCAUUCUCAAAACUGUUACCAUGAUUUUUUUAAGACACUAUAUCAGUGAAAUACACCACAUUUUCAGUUGAUACAAUGUGUUAUCAUCAUGAUCAACGUCUAUGCCAAAUAUAAAUUUAUAAGGAAUGGAUAGAGGAGACUUGUAGGGAAUAAGAUCAAAAAUCAUAUAAUAGAACAUACCCUUCAUCCUUGAAUGUAUGGUUGAAGAAAGUAAAUUAAAAUCCAUGAUAAGAUCGCCAUCUCUGCCUCGAAUGUCACCAUGAAUUUUGCUUUCUUCAACUACAUCUCAAAGGACGGAGAGUAUAUUUUGUUAUAUGAUUGUGAUUCUCUUCCGUACAAUACUCCUUUGAAUUCAAUACCUUUUAUAAAUUUUAUAUGUGACAGAGAUGGUGAUCUUCAUGAUAGUCACUUCGUAUCAACUACAAAUGUGGUGAAUUUUAUUGAAAAGGGGUGUGAAAAUAACAUCGUGGUUCCAGCUUUGAGUAAUGCUUUCAAAGAAUGUAGUUCAAUUUCCUUGUUCCUCACCCCCAAUUAAAUAUAUAGACCAUGUGAUAUUUUUUUG